AUUGAACGCUGGCGGCACGCUUAACACAUGCAAGUCGAACGGCAGCAUGGAGAGCUUGCUCUCUGAUGGCGAGUGGCGGACGGGUGAGUAACACGUAGGAAUCUGCCUAUUAGUGGGGGAUAACUCGGGGAAACUCGAGCUAAUAGCGCAUACGCUCUACGGAGGAAAGCGGGCGAUCUUCGGACCACGCGCUAAUAGAUGAGCCUGCGUACGAUUAGCUAGUUGGUAGGGUAAAGGCCUACCAAGGCGACGAUCGGUAGCUGGUCUGAGAGGACGAUCAGCCACACUGGAACUGAGACACGGUCCAGACUCCUACGGGAGGCAGCAGUAGGGAAUAUUGGACAAUGGGCGCAAGCCUGAUCCAGCAAUGCCGCGUGUGUGAAGAAGGCCUGCGGGUUGUAAAGCACUUUAAGCAGGGAAGAAGGCUCUGGAGUUAAUACCUUUGGAGAUUGACGUUACCUGCAGAAUAAGCACCGGCUAACUCCGUGCCAGCCGCCGCAGUAC
rnacentral:rRNA from 1 species